AUAAUAUAUCUAUUCUAUAAUAUAUCAAUAGAUACAUUAUAUUUGUUUUUAUCCGACUAUAUAAAUUCAUAUUACGAUGCCGAUUAACAAAAGAUAUUUAAGUUCGUAUUGCUUUUUACCCUAUGGUAUGUUAUGUUUAAAGGGGCUUUCUUGAGAAUUACAUGCUUUCGAAAAUGACCAAUUACCAUAAGGAAUGAUACAAUGACGUUGUCUUUUUAACAUAAACAUUCAUUUAACUUGCUAGAAAUAGUGUUAAUUAUCAAUACAAGUUAAAGUUAUGAUAAAGUAGAAAUAAUAAAAAUUAGGAAUGUUUGACAAAUUACCUAAUCAAGGGCAAUGGAAUAUAUAUUUUAGAAGAGGACAUCUACAAAACGAUCCACCAAAGUUUUCAUCUGGCUUCUGAUAGCGUUAAAUGUAUUACUGAUGGCAGCGCUUUUAGGCCAAGUGAUUCAAUGGCGAGAACAUAGAAAAAAUAGCAUGGCUCCUCGUGAACUAACUGUAUGUCUAAAUUGCACCGAAAUGGGGUUUGACACCAAGGAAAUACCAAAGGAAAUGAAAGGAAAGAUAUCAAGGGAUGCAAGUGAUAACUCGAAAGAAUGGGUUUGCUGUGGACAUACAAGUGAUGUUUUAAACUUGAUGGUUGCUAAGGCAAUAAAAGACAGAGGUACCACUGUCAAGUAAAGUCUUUAUCCCUUGAUAUCUAAGGAAUGCAAGAAAACAACAGAAGUAAAGCCAUCUGCGCAAGUAAAUUAAAAUUACUCCUUUUUUGUUGGACUUUGAUAAAUCAUAGGUCUCU